rnacentral:rRNA from 1 species
GACGAACGCUGGCGGCAUGCCUAAUACAUGCAAGUCGAGCGAACAGAUGAAGUGCUUGCACUUCUGACGUUAGCGGCGAACGGGUGAGUAACACGUAAGGAAUCUACCUAUAAGCGGGGGAUAACAUUCGGAAACGGGUGCUAAUACCGCAUAAUAUCUUCUUCCGCAUGGAAGAAGAUUGAAAGACGGCUCUGCUGUCACUUAUAGAUGACCUUGCGGUGCAUUAGUUAGUUGGUGGGGUAAUGGCCUACCAAGACAAUGAUGCAUAGCCGCCCUGAGAGGGUGAGCGGCCACAUUGGGACUGAGACACGGCCCAAACUCCUACGGGAGGCAGCAUUAGGGAAUCUUCCGCAAUGGGCGAAAGCCUGACGGAGCAAUGCCGCGUGAGUGAAGAAGGCCUUCGGGUCGUAAAACUCUGUUAUAAGAGAAGAACAAAUUGUAGAGUAACUGCUACAGUCUUGACGGUAUCUUAUCAGAAAGCCACGGCUAACUACGUGCCAGCAGCCGCCGUAA